GCGUUCGAUGAUUGGUUCAAAUCCCUUAAGUCCGAAGAUAGUUAUACCAUCGGCUGUAUGACCGUGCCCAAUGCUAAAAAGUGGUUUGAAGAUGUACUGACGACCUCAGCUUGGCUCGCUGAUGAUCAUAUCGACUUGGCUAUGGAAUUGUUACGCGAUCGGGCGCGGAGAUACCCGAGAUCUUAUGACAGUCCUACUCGAGUUAUCUUGA